UAGACCGCCUGGGGAGUACGGCCGCAAGGUUAAAACUCAAAUGAAUUGACGGGGGCCCGCACAAGCGGUGGAGCAUGUGGUUUAAUUCGAUGCAACGCGAAGAACCUUACCUGGUCUUGACAUCCACAGAAGUUUCCAGAGAUGAGAAUGUGCCUUCGGGAACUGUGAGACAGGUGCUGCAUGGCUGUCGUCAGCUCGUGUUGUGAAAUGUUGGGUUAAGUCCCGCAACGAGCGCAACCCUUAUCCUUUGUUGCCAGCGAUUAGGUCGGGAACUCAAAGGAGACUGCCAGUGAUAAACUGGAGGAAGGUGGGGAUGACGUCAAGUCAUCAUGGCCCUUACGACCAGGGCUACACACGUGCUACAAUGGCGCAUACAAAGAGAAGCGACCUCGCGAGAGCAAGCGGACCUCAUAAAGUGCGUCGUAGUCCGGAUUGGAGUCUGCAACUCGACUCCAUGAAGUCGGAAUCGCUAGUAAUCGUGGAUCAGAAUGCCACGGUGAAUACGUUCCCGGGCCUUGUACACACCGCCCGUCACACCAUGGGAGUGGGUUGCAAAAGAAGUAGGUAGCUUAACCUUCGGGAGGGCGCUUACCACUUUGUGAUUCAUGACUGGGGUGAAGUCGUAACAAGGUAACCGUAGGGGAACCUGCGGUUGGAUCACCUCCUUACCUUAAAGAA
rnacentral:rRNA from 1 species